rnacentral:rRNA from 1 species
AUUGAACGCUGGCGGCAGGCUUAACACAUGCAAGUCGAGCGAGCGGCGGACGGGUGAGUAAUGUCUGGGAAACUGCCUGAUGGAGGGGGAUAACUACUGGAAACGGUAGCUAAUACCGCAUACCAUCAGAUGUGCCCAGAUGGGAUUAGCUAGUAGGUGGGGUAAUGUCUCACCUAGGCGACGAGCCCUAGCUGGUCUGAGAGGAUGACCAGCCCCCCUGGAACUGAGCCACGCUCCAGACUCCUACGGGAGGCAGCAGUGGGGAAUUUUGCACAAUCGGCGCAAGCCUGAUGCAGCCCUGCCGCGUGUAUGAAGAAGGCCUUCGGGUUGUAAAGCACUUUCAGCGAUGAGGCGUUACUCGCAGAAGAAGCACCGGCUAACUCCGUGCCAGCCGCCGCGGUAAUUC